rnacentral:rRNA from 1 species
ACUAAGCGUACACGGUGGAUGCCCUGGCAGUCAGAGGCGAUGAAGGACGUGCUAAUCUGCGAAAAGCGUCGGUAAGGUGAUAUGAACCGUUAUAGCCGGCGAUGUCCGAAUGGGGAAACCCAGUGCAAUUCGUUGCACUAUCGUUAACUGAAUACAUAGGUUAACGAGGCGAACCGGGGGAACUGAAACAUCUAAGUACCCCGAGGAAAAGAAAUCAACCGAGAUUCCCCCAGUAGCGGCGAGCGAACGGGGAGCAGCCCAGAGUCUGAAUCAGCUUGUGUGUUAGUGGAACGGUCUGGAAAGUCCGACGGUACAGGGUGAUAGUCCCGUACACCAAAAUGCACAGGUUGUGAACUCGAAGAGUAGGGCGGGACACGUGGUAUCCUGUCUGAAUAUGGGGGGACCAUCCUCCAAGGCUAAAUACUCCUGACUGACCGAUAGUGAACCAGUACCGUGAGGGAAAGGCGAAAAGAACCCCGGCGAGGGGAGUGAAAAAGAACCUGAAACCGUGUACGUACAAGCAGUGGGAGCACCUUCGGGUGUGACUGCGUACCUUUUGUAUAAUGGGUCAGCGACUUAUAUUCUGUAGCAAGGUUAACCGUAUAGGGGAGCCGCAGGGAAACCGAGUCUUAACUGGGCGUUAAGUUGCAGGGUAUAGACCCGAAACCCGGUGAUCUAGCCAUGGGCAGGUUGAAGGUUGGGUAACACUAACUGGAGGACCGAACCGACUAAUGUUGAAAAAUUAGCGGAUGACUUGUGGCUGGGGGUGAAAGGCCAAUCAAACCGGGAGAUAGCUGGUUCUCCCCGAAAGCUAUUUAGGUAGCGCCUCGUGAACUCAUCUUCGGGGGUAGAGCACUGUUUCGGCUAGGGGGUCAUCCCGACUUACCAACCCGAUGCAAACUACGAAUACCGAAGAAUGUUAUCACGGGAGACACACGGCGGGUGCUAACGUCCGUCGUGAAGAGGGAAACAACCCAGACCGCCAGCUAAGGUCCCAAAGUCAUGGUUAAGUGGGAAACGAUGUGGGAAGGCACAGACAGCCAGGAUGUUGGCUUAGAAGCAGCCAUCAUUUAAAGAAAGCGUAAUAGCUCACUGGUCGAGUCGGCCUGCGCGGAAGAUGUAACGGGGCUAAACCAUGCACCGAAGCUGCGGCAGCGACACUAUGUGUUGUUGGGUAGGGGAGCGUUCUGUAAGCCUGCGAAGGUGUGCUGUGAGGCAUGCUGGAGGUAUCAGAAGUGCGAAUGCUGACAUAAGUAACGAUAAAGCGGGUGAAAAGCCCGCUCGCCGGAAGACCAAGGGUUCCUGUCCAACGUUAAUCGGGGCAGGGUGAGUCGACCCCUAAGGCGAGGCCGAAAGGCGUAGUCGAUGGGAAACAGGUUAAUAUUCCUGUACUUGGUGUUACUGCGAAGGGGGGACGGAGAAGGCUAUGUUAGCCGGGCGACGGUUGUCCCGGUUUAAGCAUGUAGGCUGGUUGUCCAGGCAAAUCCGGAUAAUCAAGGCUGAGGUGUGAUGACGAGGCACUACGGUGCUGAAGUAACAAAUGCCCUGCUUCCAGGAAAAGCCUCUAAGCAUCAGGUAACAUUAAAUCGUACCCCAAACCGACACAGGUGGUCAGGUAGAGAAUACCAAGGCGCUUGAGAGAACUCGGGUGAAGGAACUAGGCAAAAUGGUGCCGUAACUUCGGGAGAAGGCACGCUGGUGUGUAGGUGAAGUCCCUGCGGAUGGAGCUGAGACCAGUCGAAGAUACCAGCUGGCUGCAACUGUUUAUUAAAAACACAGCACUGUGCAAACACGAAAGUGGACGUAUACGGUGUGACGCCUGCCCGGUGCCGGAAGGUUAAUUGAUGGGGUUAUCCGUAAGGAGAAGCUCUUGAUCGAAGCCCCGGUAAACGGCGGCCGUAACUAUAACGGUCCUAAGGUAGCGAAAUUCCUUGUCGGGUAAGUUCCGACCUGCACGAAUGGCGUAAUGAUGGCCAGGCUGUCUCCACCCGAGACUCAGUGAAAUUGAACUCGCUGUGAAGAUGCAGUGUACCCGCGGCAAGACGGAAAGACCCCGUGAACCUUUACUAUAGCUUGACACUGAACAUUGAGCCUUGAUGUGUAGGAUAGGUGGGAGGCUUUGAAGCGUGGACGCCAGUCUGCGUGGAGCCAACCUUGAAAUACCACCCUUUAAUGUUUGAUGUUCUAACGUUGGCCCCUUACCGGGGUUGCGGACAGUGUCUGGUGGGUAGUUUGACUGGGGCGGUCUCCUCCUAAAGCGUAACGGAGGAGCACGAAGGUUAGCUAAUCCUGGUCGGACAUCAGGAGGUUAGUGCAAUGGCAUAAGCUAGCUUGACUGCGAGCGUGACGGCGCGAGCAGGUGCGAAAGCAGGUCAUAGUGAUCCGGUGGUUCUGAAUGGAAGGGCCAUCGCUCAACGGAUAAAAGGUACUCCGGGGAUAACAGGCUGAUACCGCCCAAGAGUUCAUAUCGACGGCGGUGUUUGGCACCUCGAUGUCGGCUCAUCACAUCCUGGGGCUGAAGUAGGUCCCAAGGGUAUGGCUGUUCGCCAUUUAAAGUGGUACGCGAGCUGGGUUUAGAACGUCGUGAGACAGUUCGGUCCCUAUCUGCCGUGGGCGCUGGAGAAUUGAGGGGGGCUGCUCCUAGUACGAGAGGACCGGAGUGGACGCAUCACUGGUGUUCGGGUUGUCAUGCCAAUGGCACUGCCCGGUAGCUAAAUGCGGAAGAGAUAAGUGCUGAAAGCAUCUAAGCACGAAACUUGCCCCGAGAUGAGUUCUCCCUGAGACUUUAAGUCUCCUGAAGGAACGUUGAAGACGACGACGUUGAUAGGCCGGGUGUGUAAGCGCAGCGAUGCGUUGAGCUAACCGGUACUAAUGAACCGUGAGGCUUAACC